UUCCGGUUGAUCCUGCCGGAUCCUACUGCUAUCGGGAUGAGACUAAAACAUGCUAGUUGUGCGCACCUUAGCUAUGUUAGGAGCGCAGCGUACGGCUCCGUAACACGUUGUCAAUCUAACCUUAGGAUAGGAAUAACCCCGGGAAACUGGGGCUAAUACCUGAUAGGCGAAAAAUUCUGGAAUGAUUUUUCACUCAAAGAGUUAUAAGAACAUGCUUCUUUAACUGCCUAAGGAUGAGACUGCGUCCGAUCAGGUUGUUGGUGGGGUGAUGGCCUACCAAGCCUAUUACCGGUACGGGCCCUGAGAGGGGGAGCCCGGAGAUGGGAACUGAGACAAGGUCCCAGACCCUAAGGGGUGCAGCAGUUGCGAAACCUCUACAAUGCACGAAAGUGUGAUAGGGUUAUCCCGAGUGCCGUCCGAUGAGGAUGGCUUUUCCUUGGUGUAAGGAGCCAUUGGAAUAAAGGGGGGGCAAGACUGGUGUCAGCCGCCGCGGUAAUACCAGCCCCCUGAGUGGUAGGGAUGAUUAUUUGGCCUAAAGCGUCCGUAGCCGGCUUAGCAAGUCUUUCGUUAAAUCCGGUGACUUAAUCAUCGAGCCGCGAGAGAUACUACUAGGCUUGAGGGCGGGAGAGGUCGACGGUAUUCCGGGGGUAGGGGUAAAAUCCUAUAAUCCUCGGAGGACCACCAGUGGCGAAGGCGGUCGACUAGAACGUGCCUGAC
rnacentral:rRNA from 1 species